rnacentral:rRNA from 2 species
GGGUUGUGAGGUUAAGCGACUAAGCGUACACGGUGGAUGCCCUGGCAGUCAGAGGCGAUGAAGGACGUGCUAAUCUGCGAAAAGCGUCGGUAAGGUGAUAUGAACCGUUAUAGCCGGCGAUGUCCGAAUGGGGAAACCCAGUGCAAUUCGUUGCACUAUCGUUAACUGAAUACAUAGGUUAACGAGGCGAACCGGGGGAACUGAAACAUCUAAGUACCCCGAGGAAAAGAAAUCAACCGAGAUUCCCCCAGUAGCGGCGAGCGAACGGGGAGCAGCCCAGAGUCUGAAUCAGCUUGUGUGUUAGUGGAACGGUCUGGAAAGUCCGACGGUACAGGGUGAUAGUCCCGUACACCAAAAUGCACAGGUUGUGAACUCGAAGAGUAGGGCGGGACACGUGGUAUCCUGUCUGAAUAUGGGGGGACCAUCCUCCAAGGCUAAAUACUCCUGACUGACCGAUAGUGAACCAGUACCGUGAGGGAAAGGCGAAAAGAACCCCGGCGAGGGGAGUGAAAAAGAACCUGAAACCGUGUACGUACAAGCAGUGGGAGCACCUUCGGGUGUGACUGCGUACCUUUUGUAUAAUGGGUCAGCGACUUAUAUUCUGUAGCAAGGUUAACCGUAUAGGGGAGCCGCAGGGAAACCGAGUCUUAACUGGGCGUUAAGUUGCAGGGUAUAGACCCGAAACCCGGUGAUCUAGCCAUGGGCAGGUUGAAGGUUGGGUAACACUAACUGGAGGACCGAACCGACUAAUGUUGAAAAAUUAGCGGAUGACUUGUGGCUGGGGGUGAAAGGCCAAUCAAACCGGGAGAUAGCUGGUUCUCCCCGAAAGCUAUUUAGGUAGCGCCUCGUGAACUCAUCUUCGGGGGUAGAGCACUGUUUCGGCUAGGGGGUCAUCCCGACUUACCAACCCGAUGCAAACUACGAAUACCGAAGAAUGUUAUCACGGGAGACACACGGCGGGUGCUAACGUCCGUCGUGAAGAGGGAAACAACCCAGACCGCCAGCUAAGGUCCCAAAGUCAUGGUUAAGUGGGAAACGAUGUGGGAAGGCACAGACAGCCAGGAUGUUGGCUUAGAAGCAGCCAUCAUUUAAAGAAAGCGUAAUAGCUCACUGGUCGAGUCGGCCUGCGCGGAAGAUGUAACGGGGCUAAACCAUGCACCGAAGCUGCGGCAGCGACACUAUGUGUUGUUGGGUAGGGGAGCGUUCUGUAAGCCUGCGAAGGUGACCUGUGAGGGUUGCUGGAGGUAUCAGAAGUGCGAAUGCUGACAUAAGUAACGAUAAAGCGGGUGAAAAGCCCGCUCGCCGGAAGACCAAGGGUUCCUGUCCAACGUUAAUCGGGGCAGGGUGAGUCGACCCCUAAGGCGAGGCCGAAAGGCGUAGUCGAUGGGAAACAGGUUAAUAUUCCUGUACUUGGUGUUACUGCGAAGGGGGGACGGAGAAGGCUAUGUUAGCCGGGCGACGGUUGUCCCGGUUUAAGCAUGUAGGCUGGUUGUCCAGGCAAAUCCGGAUAAUCAAGGCUGAGGUGUGAUGACGAGGCACUACGGUGCUGAAGUAACAAAUGCCCUGCUUCCAGGAAAAGCCUCUAAGCAUCAGGUAACAUCAAAUCGUACCCCAAACCGACACAGGUGGUCAGGUAGAGAAUACCAAGGCGCUUGAGAGAACUCGGGUGAAGGAACUAGGCAAAAUGGUGCCGUAACUUCGGGAGAAGGCACGCUGGUGUGUAGGUGAAGUCCCUGCGGAUGGAGCUGAGACCAGUCGAAGAUACCAGCUGGCUGCAACUGUUUAUUAAAAACACAGCACUGUGCAAACACGAAAGUGGACGUAUACGGUGUGACGCCUGCCCGGUGCCGGAAGGUUAAUUGAUGGGGUUAUCCGUAAGGAGAAGCUCUUGAUCGAAGCCCCGGUAAACGGCGGCCGUAACUAUAACGGUCCUAAGGUAGCGAAAUUCCUUGUCGGGUAAGUUCCGACCUGCACGAAUGGCGUAAUGAUGGCCAGGCUGUCUCCACCCGAGACUCAGUGAAAUUGAACUCGCUGUGAAGAUGCAGUGUACCCGCGGCAAGACGGAAAGACCCCGUGAACCUUUACUAUAGCUUGACACUGAACAUUGAGCCUUGAUGUGUAGGAUAGGUGGGAGGCUUUGAAGCGUGGACGCCAGUCUGCGUGGAGCCAACCUUGAAAUACCACCCUUUAAUGUUUGAUGUUCUAACGUUGGCCCCUUACCGGGGUUGCGGACAGUGUCUGGUGGGUAGUUUGACUGGGGCGGUCUCCUCCCAAAGCGUAACGGAGGAGCACGAAGGUUAGCUAAUCCUGGUCGGACAUCAGGAGGUUAGUGCAAUGGCAUAAGCUAGCUUGACUGCGAGCGUGACGGCGCGAGCAGGUGCGAAAGCAGGUCAUAGUGAUCCGGUGGUUCUGAAUGGAAGGGCCAUCGCUCAACGGAUAAAAGGUACUCCGGGGAUAACAGGCUGAUACCGCCCAAGAGUUCAUAUCGACGGCGGUGUUUGGCACCUCGAUGUCGGCUCAUCACAUCCUGGGGCUGAAGUAGGUCCCAAGGGUAUGGCUGUUCGCCAUUUAAAGUGGUACGCGAGCUGGGUUUAGAACGUCGUGAGACAGUUCGGUCCCUAUCUGCCGUGGGCGCUGGAGAAUUGAGGGGGGCUGCUCCUAGUACGAGAGGACCGGAGUGGACGCAUCACUGGUGUUCGGGUUGUCAUGCCAAUGGCACUGCCCGGUAGCUAAAUGCGGAAGAGAUAAGUGCUGAAAGCAUCUAAGCACGAAACUUGCCCCGAGAUGAGUUCUCCCUGAGACUUUAAGUCUCCUGAAGGAACGUUAAAGACGAUGACGUUGAUAGGCCGGGUGUGUAAGCGCAGCGAUGCGUUGAGCUAACCGGUACUAAUGAACCGUGAGGCUUAACCUUACAACGCCGAAG